rnacentral:rRNA from 1 species
UACGUAGGGUCCGAGCGUUGUCCGGAAUUACUUGGCGUAAAGAGCUCGUAGGUGGUUUGUCGCGUUGUUCGUGAAAACUCACAGCUCAACUGUGGGCGUGCGGGCGAUACGGGCAGACUGGAGUACUGCAGGGGAGACUGGAAUUCCUGGUGUAGCGGUGGAAUGCGCAGAUAUCAGGAGGAACACCGGUGGCGAAGGCGGGUCUCUGGGCAGUAACUGACGCUGAGGAGCGAAAGCGUGGGGAGCGAACAGG